rnacentral:rRNA from 1 species
GGGUUGUGAGGUUAAGCGACUAAGCGUACACGGUGGAUGCCCUGGCAGUCAGAGGCGAUGAAGGGCGUGCUAAUCUGCGAUAAGCGCCGGUAAGGUGAUAUGAACCGUUAUAACCGGCGAUACCCGAAUGGGGAAACCCAGUGUGAUUCGUCACACUAUCAUUAACUGAAUCCAUAGGUUAAUGAGGCGAACCGGGGGAACUGAAACAUCUAAGUACCCCGAGGAAAAGAAAUCAACCGAGAUUCCCCCAGUAGCGGCGAGCGAACGGGGAGGAGCCCAGAGCCUGAAUCAGCAUGUGUGUUAGUGGAAGCGUCUGGAAAGGCGCGCGAUACAGGGUGACAGCCCCGUACACAAAAGCGCAUGUGCUGUGAGCUCGAUGAGUAGGGCGGGACACGUGGUAUCCUGUCUGAAUAUGGGGGGACCAUCCUCCAAGGCUAAAUACUCCUGACUGACCGAUAGUGAACCAGUACCGUGAGGGAAAGGCGAAAAGAACCCCGGCGAGGGGAGUGAAAAAGAACCUGAAACCGUGUACGUACAAGCAGUGGGAGCACAGGUUUACCUGUGUGACUGCGUACCUUUUGUAUAAUGGGUCAGCGACUUAUAUUCUGUAGCAAGGUUAACCGUAUAGGGGAGCCGAAGGGAAACCGAGUCUUAACCGGGCGUUAAGUUGCAGGGUAUAGACCCGAAACCCGGUGAUCUAGCCAUGGGCAGGUUGAAGGUUGGGUAACACUAACUGGAGGACCGAACCGACUAAUGUUGAAAAAUUAGCGGAUGACCUGUGGCUGGGGGUGAAAGGCCAAUCAAACCGGGAGAUAGCUGGUUCUCCCCGAAAGCUAUUUAGGUAGCGCCUCGUGAAUUCAUCUCCGGGGGUAGAGCACUGUUUCGGCUAGGGGGCCAUCCCGGCUUACCAACCCGAUGCAAACUGCGAAUACCGGAGAAUGUUAUCACGGGAGACACACGGCGGGUGCUAACGUCCGUCGUGAAGAGGGAAACAACCCAGACCGCCAGCUAAGGUCCCAAAGUCAUAGUUAAGUGGGAAACGAUGUGGGAAGGCCCAGACAGCCAGGAUGUUGGCUUAGAAGCAGCCAUCAUUUAAAGAAAGCGUAAUAGCUCACUGGUCGAGUCGGCCUGCGCGGAAGAUGUAACGGGGCUAAACCAUGCACCGAAGCUGCGGCAGCGACACUAUGUGUUGUUGGGUAGGGGAGCGUUCUGUAAGCCUGUGAAGGUGUGUCGUGAGGC